GACGAACGCUGGCGGCGUGCUUAACACAUGCAAGUCGAACGGAAAGGCCCUUCGGGAUCCUCGAGUGGCGAACGGGUGAGUAACACGUGGGUGAUCUGCCCUGCACUUUGGGAUAAGCCUGGGAAACUGGGUCUAAUACCGAAUAGGACCACGCGCUUCAUGGUGUGUGGUGGAAAGCUUUUGCGGUGUGGGAUGGGCCCGCGGCCUAUCAGCUUGUUGGUGGGGUAAUGGCCUACCAAGGCGACGACGGGUAGCCGGCCUGGGAGGGUGACCAGCCACACUGGGACUGAGAUACGGCCCAGACUCCUACGGGAGGCAGCAGUGGGGAAUAUUGCACAAUGGGAGCAAGCCUGAUGCAGCGACGCCGCGUGAGGGAUGACGGGCUUCGGGUUGUAAACCUCUUUCAAUAGAGACGAAGCGCAAGUGACGGUACCUAAAGAAGAAGCACCGGCCAACUACGUG
rnacentral:rRNA from 1 species